GCUGGUGUAAAUGAUGACCACUUUUUUCCCCGUCAUAUCGAAAAUGCUGAUUUCUUAGAAAUAUUUGCCAGUUAUUUCUGAUACACCAGC